UACGGAGGAUGCGAGCGUUAUCCGGAUUUAUUGGGUUUAAAGGGUGCGUAGGCGGUCUUUUUAAGUCAGCGGUGAAAUUUUGCAGCUUAACUGUAACAGUGCCGUUGAUACUGGGGAGCUAGGAUUUGGUUGCUGUGGGUGGAAUGUGUGGUGUAGCGGUGAAAUGCUUAGAGAUCACACAGAGUAUCGAUUGCGAAGGCAGCUCACAAAGCCAAGAUUGACGCUGAGGCACGAAAGUGUGGGGAUCAAACAGGAUUA
rnacentral:rRNA from 1 species